AGAGUUUGAUCAUGGCUCAGGAUGAACGCUGGCGGCGUGCCUAAUGCAUGCAAGUCGCACGCUCUGCCUUCGGGCAGGGAGUGGCGAACGGCUGAGGAACACGUAUGGACCUGCUCCGGUGUGGGGGACAACACGGCGAAAGCCGUGCUAAUCCCGCAUACGCUCAUUCACGUGAGGAAAGCCGCAAGGCGCACCGGAAGGGACGUGCGGCCCAUCAGGUAGUUGGUGAGGUAACGGCCCACCAAGCCCGUGACGGGUAGCUGGUCUGAGAGGACGACCAGCCAGACUGGGACUGUGACACGGCCCAGACUCCUACGGGAGGCAGCAGCCAGGAAUCUUGGGCAAUGGGCGCAAGCCUGACCCAGCAACACCGUGUGGGCGAUGAAGGCCUUCGGGUCGUAAAGCCCUUUCAGUGGGGAAGAAAAACGGGGUGUGAAAAGCGCUUCGUCUUGACGUUACCCACAGAAGAAGCACCGGCUAACUCUGUGCCAGCAGCCGCGGUAAUACAGAGGGGGCAAGCGUUGUUCGGAAUUACUGGGCGUAAAGGGCGCGUAGGCGGCCUGCUAAGUCGAACGUGAAAUCCCUGGGCUCAACCCAGGAACUGCGUCCGAUACUGGUUGGCUUGAAUUCGGGAGAGGGAUGCGGAAUUCCAGGUGUAGCGGUGAAAUGCGUAGAUAUCUGGAGGAACACCGGUGGCGAAGGCGGCAUCCUGGACCGACAUUGACGCUGAGGCGCGAAAGCUAGGGGAGCAAACAGGAUUAGAUACCCCGGUAGUCC
rnacentral:rRNA from 1 species